rnacentral:rRNA from 1 species
GACGAACCGUGCGAACGUUAUUCGGAAUCACUGGGCUUAAAGCGCGUGUAGGCGGGCCGGCACGUCCGACGCUGAAAUCCCCCGGCUCAACCGGGGAACGGGCUCGGAUACGACCGGCCUCGAGGGACGUAGGGGGACCUGGAACUUCCGGUGGAGCGGUGAAAUGCGUUGAGAUCGGAAGGAACGCCCGUGGCGAAAGCGAGGUCCUGGACGUUUUCUGACGCUGAGACGCGAAAGCCAGGGGAGCGAACGGG